AUAGUAAUAACAAUAUCAAUCUUCUCAUUUCUUGAUAACAAUAUACAAAAUUUAGCAAAACAAGAACACUAAUAACACUAUCAAUCUUCUCAUUUCUUGAUAACAAUAUACAAAAUUUAGCAAAACACGAACACUAAUAACACUAUCAAUCUUCUCGUUUCUUAAUAACAAUAUACAAAACUUAGCAAAACAAGAAUACUAAUAACACUAUCAAUCUUCUCAUUUCUUGAUAACAAUAUACAAUAUUUAUCAAAACAAAAACACUAAUAACACUUUCAAUCUUCUCAUUUCUUGAUAACAAUAUACAAAAUUUAGCAAGACAAGAAUAGUAAUAACAAUAUCAAUCUUCUCAUUUCUUGAUAACAAUAUACAAAAUUUAGCAAGACAAGAACACUAAUAACACUAUCAAUCUUCUCAUUUCUUGAUAACAAUAUACAAAAUUUAGCAAAACAAGAACACUAAUAACACUAUCAAUCUUCUCAUUUCUUGAGAACAAUAUACAGAUAAGUAUGCUAAGAAAAAAGAAGCAAAGAAAUAACUCACAUAAUAGAGUCCUAAAGAU
rnacentral:lncRNA from 1 species